rnacentral:lncRNA from 1 species
AAGAGACAAAAACGAAAGAAAAAAAAAGAAAAAUUCCUCACACCUAGGGUUACAAGCCAUCCUAAAAGGUUUUAUUUAUAAAAAGAACAAUCAAUGUUGUCUCUGGUUGGGUUCCCUGGAAUUCAGUCUCUGACUCAGUGUCAUGAGCAUUGUUUUCUUUAAAAAAAUUCAAAAGUGAAAAAAAGAGAGCAUAAUUGGGCUGAGGGAGAGAUCGAGCCCACAACCCAAAACAGCGGGCCUAAAAUGUCUCCACUGACUGUCCUCAGGCUGCUUCGUCCCUGCUCCUCUGAGCCACCGGACACGAAGCCUCCCCAGGAAGACCUGAGACCUGGUGGGGUGCUGUCUAGAGCUAACGUGGCCCUGGAGGGACCGCAGCUGACGCCGUCUUCCACCAGCACAUCAGCGACCUGGACGGCACGUACUUGAGGUGGCAGAUGCCAGCAUCCACCAAAGUCCACCAGUGCAGCUCGAAUCCAUUUCUUCAUUUUCAUUCUGAGGGUGGGAGAACAUGCAGGCGUGCGUGUGUGUGUGUGUUCAGGUUGUGGGAGUUUUGUGUUCAGGGUAGUGUGUCUGUGCCCACUUGGGGUUGCUAUGCGUGAACUCAGUGAUGUGAGGACUGUGCAUCCAUCAGGGAGGUUUGAAAGCAAUGACGUGUGUCUGUGAUGGGGUUGAAGUAUGUGUGGGUUAUGUCGUGUACUGUACUAGAGUUUGGGUAAUGUAGGUGAACAUUCAGAUUGUUUGCGGGGGGUGUAAAAUAUGCACUUGGGGAUGGGGUUCGUGUGUCUGUGUGCGUACUGGGGUCAUGGACAGUUUUAGAUGUGUCUACCUGCAGGGGUGAGGAUGCCCAUUUGGAGAGUUCCGAGCCGAUGUGUGUGCAUUUUGAAAGAGUUGGGUGGUUGUCUGAACACAUUCUGAGUCCAGCAGGACGUGACGGGCAGAUUAGAAGACUGAAUGUGUGCUCCUAUGAAGAAGGCCUGGAGGCGAGUGUGUGUGUACGUGUGCACGUGCAGUGUAAUGUUUCCCAUGUUUCUGUGUGUGGGACACGCGUCCAUUAGGACAUGCUGGAUUAUCUCACGUCACAGGUGCAGAUCUUCCUCAAAUCACAAUGGGCUUACAUCCUGACAAAUCCACUGUAACGCGAGAGCACAGGAAGUCGAAGAUGCAUUGAAUCCACCUAACCUACCGAGCGUCGAACAUCGCAGCUGAGCCCAGCGUGUCUCCAGCGCGCUCAGCACGCUUAUGCGAGCCCACAGUUGAGCAGAACCGUCUCCCACAAGCCUGUUCAUAACACAGCGUUGGAUAUCUCAUGUAAUUACUGAAUACUGUACUGACAGUGAGAAACACAAUGGUUCUAAGUGCGUCGUUGUUCACCCUUGUGACCACAUGGCUGACGGGAGCUGUGCUCACCGUCACUGCCCAGCAUCACGGGAGAGGAUCAGACCACAUAUCACCUGGAAAAAGACAAAACUCAAAAUAUGAAGUACGGUUUCUACUGAAUGCGUAUCGCUUUUGCACUAUCCUCAAGCUGAAAAGUCCUAAGUCAAACCGUCGUAAGUCAGAGACCACCUGUAAUUCAGUGACGUCCAACAACACACACUUGCUUCUUACUCUGGUGGCAUGUCCUCCAUUAAUUCUAGACGGGUUCCUUGUCCUCUUCACUCUGGAUCCAGAUGGAAGGAGCAGCCCCACUGGGGCAGGACCAGACGGGAAGCGUGUGCUCAGAAGUCACACGUGGCAUUUCUGCUCACACUUCAUUGGCCAGAGCAAGUCACACGGCCACAUGCGCACUUAACAGGGUGGGAUGUAUAAUGUCUGACAGAAACACCCCCGAGAGGGACAGUACAUAUUCCUCACAGCGAUACCGUCCACCACACUGUGUGCUCAGAGCCUGUUCUACGGCAGCGGGGUAUCUCACCAAGGAGUAUGAGGAGGGUAUGGGCGAGUGUGUUUAGGUGGGUAAAGACUGGUGUGUGAUUAGGGCCACACUGUCAGGUGUGGGAUGUUUUAUAAUCACACAUUUGGGGCUUCCUGUCUGUUUUUUGGGUGAGGAGUUGGGUGUCUGUAUUCUGUGUUGUGUAUGUAUUUCAUAUAUCUAAGAUACGUAUUUCAUGUAUGUGUGUAGGUUAAACGUAUAUUCAGUGGUGUGUGGAAAUGUGUUUUUAGGGGACUAUGGGUGAGUCUUUAGUAUGUUACAGGAGUACAGUUAACUGGUUUAUUCUGGGGGUGCUGAAUAGUGAUGUGUGCAUACGGGGCUGGUUGUGUGUAUGCUCGGGAGACGUGGAAGCCUGUAUGCACCCGAGCAGUGUGUACGGGUGCGUGUGUGUCUGUGUUAGGGAGCCACGGGUGUACUUGGGCAGCGCAGGUAACUGUGUGCAUACUUAGAGUAGGAGAGUUGUGUGUGAAGAUUCGGGAAUUGUGUUUGCAUCCCCGUGCACACUUGAGUGGUGUGAGGGGCCGUCUCUGUAAUCAGGGUGCGCACGGAAGUUUCACUGUGUAUCUGAGAGUACAAGAUGGUCUGGGAUGUACAAAGCUAGGUCGUGCCUGUGUGUGAGAUUAUAUGGGAGAUGAGAGGAACG